AAUAUUUCAUACAAUUUUACUUCAUUCGGUAAUGUAUUUGCCUCGUUUUUAUUUAUUUCUUUCUUUCUCUCCUCCCUGUUUAAAUUCAACGAUUAAUUAACAAACUAUUCGAUUAUUCUCCUGAGCCCAC